ACAUCCAGAGAACUUGGCAGAGAUGCCUUGGUGCCUUCGGGACCUCUGAGACAGGUGCUGCAUGGCUGUCGUCAGCUCGUGUUGUGAAAUUGUUGGGUUAAAGUCCCCGNAACCGAGCGCAACCCCUAUCCUUUGUUGCCAGCGAUUCGGUCGGGAACUCAAAGGAGACUGCCGGUGAUAAACCGGAGGAAGGUGGGGAUGACGUCAAGUCAUCAUGGCCCUUACGAGUAGGGCUACACACGUGCUACAAUGGCGCAUACAAAGAGAAGCGACCUCGCGAGAGCAAGCGGACCUCAUAAAGUGCGUCGUAGUCCGGAUCGGAGUCUGCAACUCGACUCCGUGAAGUCGGAAUCGCUAGUAAUCGUAGAUCAGAAUGCUACGGUCGAAUACGUUCCGGGCCUUGUACACACCGCCCGUCACACCAUGGGAGUGGGUUGCAAAAGAAGUAGAUAGCUUAACCUUCGGGAGGGCGUUUACCACUUUGUGAUUCAUGACUGGGGUGAAGUCGUAACAAGGUAGGCGUAGCGAG
rnacentral:rRNA from 1 species